AUGGAACUGGACAAUUUGAACAGAAAAACAAGAAAACUCAUGACCGUUCAUCAUUCACUGCACCCUCGCAGUGAUGUUGACCGGCUAUAUCUGCCUAGAAGAUCAGGGGGCAGAGGACUCUUACAAGUCAAACAAGCAGUCAAAGAAGAAGAACAUGCCCUGGCAGAAUAUGUAGAGCAAAGUAAAGAACCUGCUUUGAUUGAAGUCAAGAAUCAGAAACUCCUCAAAGCACAGCAGACAAAAAACCAGUACAAGAAAACCACACUACAAACUAGAGCUGACAGCUGGCACAACAAAACAUUGCAUGGAAAGUUCCUUGACAAAAUUGAAGGAAAAGCUGAUAAGGAGAAGACCUGGCUCUGGCUCACGAGUGGGACCCUGAAGAAGGAGACAGAAGGCCUGAUCCUUGCAGCCCAGGAGCAAGCCAUCAGAACAAAGGCCAUUAAGGCCAAGAUCGAAAAAUCAGCAGAUGACCCAAAGUGCAGACUCUGCAAGAAAACCGACGAAACCAUUGAUCAUAUCCUCAGCUGCUGUAAGAAAAUUGCACAGACAGACUACAAACAGAGGCACAACUAUGUGGUCCAAAUGAUUCAUUGGAACUUGUGCCUCAAGUACCACCUCCCAGCAGCAAAGAACUGGUGGGAUCACAAACCUGCAAAGGUCAUGGAAAAUGAACACGCAGAGAUACUGUGGGACUUCCGAAUCCAGACUGACAAAGUUCUGGAACACAACACACCAGACAUCACAGUUGUGGAAAAGAACAAGGUUUGGAUCAUUGAUGUUGCCAUCCCAGGUGACAGUCGCAUUGAUGAAAAACAACAGGAAAAACUCAGCCGCUAUCAGGACCUCAAGAUUGAACUUCAAAGACUCUGGCAGAAACCAGUGCAGGUGGUCCCGGUGGUGAUGGGUACACUGGGUGCCGUGCCAAAAGAUCUCAGCCGACAUUUGGAAACAAUAGACAUUGACAAAAUUACGAUCUGCCAACUGCAAAAGGCCACCCUACUGGGAUCUGCACGCAUCAUCCGAAAAUACAUCACACAGUCCUAG
rnacentral:lncRNA from 1 species